rnacentral:sRNA from 1 species
AAUAUUUCUUGUCAUCUAUAAAUAAUUUGACAGGGGAUGAUCUAGGGUUCUUUAUAGGCAUCUGAUAGGGAAUGAGGAUCCAGGGUUUCGGAGGGUGUUUCUCCGGCUUGGGUGUUGUAUCAUUCAUCACGGAAUUCAAAGCCAGGUCCCUACUUACUCCCGUGCCUAUAAGGCUGUCUCGACAGGGGGCAACAGGGUGCUGUGUGAUAGUCCACAUGUGUUUCUACUGCAUCACGGAAGGAGAUACAGACGUGACCUCCUAGGACAUGGGCAAAUGCUCAGGGCCAGCGGUAGCUCCAGUGAGGCAACUAAGCCUCCUACUGAACUGAUUUGCAAUACUGUUGUGUGUGGAAUGUU